rnacentral:rRNA from 1 species
CGGACCGGCGCACGGGUGAGUAACACGUAUGCAAUCCACCUGUAACAGGGGGGGUAACCCGGAGAAAUCCGGACUAAUACCCCAUAAUAUGGGCUCUCCGCAUGGAGGGUCCAUUAAAGAGAGCAAUUUUGGUUACAGACGAGCAUGCGCUCCAUUAGCCAGUUGGCGGGUAACGGCCCACCAAAGCGACGAUGGAUAGGGGUUCUGAGAGGAAGGUCCCCCACAUUGGAACUGAGACACGGUCCAA